UCGAACGCUGAAAGCUUGGUGCUUGCACUGGGUGGAUGAGUGGCGAACGGGUGAGUAAUACGUGAGUAACCUGCCCUUGACUCUGGGAUAAGCCUGGGAAACUGGGUCUAAUACUGGAUACGACAUGUCACCGCAUGGUGGUGUGUGGAAAGGGUUUUACUGGUUUUGGAUGGGCUCACGGCCUAUCAGCUUGUUGGUGGGGUAAUGGCUCACCAAGGCGACGACGGGUAGCCGGCCUGAGAGGGUGACCGGCCACACUGGGACUGAGACACGGCCCAGACUCCUACGGGAGGCAGCAGUGGGGAAUAUUGCACAAUGGGCGGAAGCCUGAUGCAGCGACGCCGCGUGAGGGAUGACGGCCUUCGGGUUGUAAACCUCUUUCAGCACGGAAGAAGCGAAAGUGACGGUACGUGCAAAAGAAGCGCCGGCUAACUACGUUGCCAGCAGCCGCGGUAAUACGUAUGGCGCAAGCGUUGUCCGGAAUUAUUGGGCGUAAAGAGCUCGCUAGGCGUUUUGUCGC
rnacentral:rRNA from 1 species